rnacentral:rRNA from 1 species
UACAGGGGGGGCAAGCGUUGUUCGGAAUUACUGGGCGUAAAGGGUUCGUAGGUGGCCACUUAAGUCAGACGUGAAAUCCCUCAGCUUAACUGGGGAACUGCGUCUGAUACUGAGUGGCUUGAGUGCAGGAGAGGAAUGCGGAAUUCCAGGUGUAGCGGUGAAAUGCGUAGAUAUCUGGAGGAACACCGGUGGCGAAGGCGGCAUUCUGGACUGUAACUGACACUGAGGAACGAAAGCCAAGGGGAGCAAACGGG